rnacentral:misc_RNA from 1 species
CAACCCUCGAACCCCUCCGGGGGGUCGGCGUUGGGGAUCGGCCUUCCUUAACGGGGGCCGUCUCCGAAAUACAGUGGCGGUCUCGCCGCAGCCUCUCCUGCGCAGUAGUUUGCACACUCGCAUCGGGAGCGCGGCGCGUCCACAGCCGUUAAACACCCAACUUCUGAAA